GUGCCUGUAGCUCAGUUGGAUAGAGCAACGGCCUUCUAAGCCGUGGGUCAGGAGUUCGAAUCUCUUCAGGCACG
rnacentral:tRNA from 1 species